UGUGCCGGAAAUCCUGGGAGCCUUCUUCUGGACUGUACCAGCUCUGUUCAGCCAUGUAAGCUUCCAACAAUAUUUGUAAGUUUAAAACUUAACACCUUCUUAACCCACCUCUCAUCUAACUUUUAGUUUCUCCCAUACUUUUAUGUGGUGUUCCUUACAAUUCUUCUUUUUGACCGAGCUAAGAGAGACGAUUACAAAUGCAAAGCAAAGUAAGCACAUAUCAUCAUCUUCACAUAUAGAUGUCAUAUCUGAUCCAUUAAUAGAAGCAUGUCUCUGUGAAUCUCAUCAUAGCACAACUCCCACAUUGCAGUAGACUGGGAAUGGAAAAAUUUUCUGUAUUGCGAAAAGGUCCCUAGCAGGAUUGUACCUGGAAUUUACUAGUAGUAAUCUGUGGAUCCUUUAAUAUUUUGACAUUGUUGAGGAUUCACUUGCAAUUGAUCUAUCAAAUAAAUGCUGCUUCUAUUUUUGUUGUAAA